AGCAGCCGCGGUAAUUCCAGCUCCAAUAGCGUAUAUUAAAGUUGUUGCAGUUAAAAAGCUCGCAGUUGAAUUUCGGGGUUUGUCAGUUGGUCGGGCUUCAUUGUCCGUACUGACUUGAUAGAUUCCUACCUUCUGAAUAACCAGCAUGCUAUUAAGUUAGUGCGUUGGGGAAGCAGAUCUAUUACCUUGAAAAAAUUAGAGUGCUUAAAGCAGGCUAGUGCUUGAAUAGAUUAGCAUGGAAUAAUAAAAUAGGACGGCAUGGUUCUAUUUUGUUGGUUUCUAGGAUCACCGUAAUGAUUAAUAGGGAUAGUUGGGGGCAUUAGUAUUCAAUUGUCAGAGGUGAAAUUCUUGGAUUUAUUGAAGACUAACUUCUGCGAAAGCAUUUGCCAAGGAUGUUUUCAUUAAUCAAGAACGAAAGUUAGGGGAUCGAAGACGAUCAGAUACCGUCGUAGUCUUAACCAUAAACUAUGCCGACUAGGAAUCGGACGACGUUAAUGUUGAUACUCGUUCGG
rnacentral:rRNA from 1 species